UACGUAGGGGGCAAGCGUUGUCCGGAAUCAUUGGGCGUAAAGGGAGCGUAGGCGGACAUUUAAGUCAGGGGUGAAAUCCCAGAGCUCAACUCUGGAACUGCCUUUGAUACUGGGUGUCUUGAGUGUGAGAGAGGUAUGUGGAACUCCGAGUGUAGAGGUGAAAUUCGUAGAUAUUCGGAAGAACACCAGUGGCGAAGGCGACAUACUGGCUCAUUACUGACGCUGAGGCUCGAAAGCGUGGGGAGCAAACAGG
rnacentral:rRNA from 1 species